rnacentral:rRNA from 1 species
UACGUAGGAGGCGAGCGUUGUCCGGAAUCACUGGGCGUAAAGCGCGUGUAGGCGGUACGGCAAGUCUGCUGUGAAAUCUCGUGGCUCAACUGCGAGGGGUCAGUGGAAACUGCCGCGCUAGAGGACGGUAGAGGGGGGUGGAAUUCCCGGUGUAGUGGUGAAAUGCGUAGAGAUCGGGAGGAACACCAGCGGCGAAGGCGGCCCCCUGGGCCGCUCCUGACGCUGAGACGCGAAGGCCAGGGUAGCGAACGGG